rnacentral:rRNA from 1 species
UACGUAGGUGGCAAGCGUUGUCCGGAUUUACUGGGCGUAAAGAGCGCGCAGGCGGUCGUUCAAGUCGCGUGUGAAAGCCCCCGGCUCAACUGGGGAGGGUCACGCGAUACUGAUCGACUCGAAGGCAGGAGAGGGUAGUGGAAUUCCCAGUGUAGAGGUGAAAUUCGUAGAUAUUGGGAAGAACACCGGUGGCGAAGGCGGCGACCUGGUCCGUUACUGACGCUGAGGCGCGACAGCGUGGGGAGCAAACAGG